rnacentral:rRNA from 1 species
AUAAACUGGUGGAUUGCUGCUGGUUCUUAGGAACAUGUGCACAUUCACCUUUGUUUCAUUCUUUCUCCACCUGUGCAUCCUUUGUAGGCUUGGAUAUUUGCUCUCAAGAAUUGAAAUAAAUUAAAGUCUAUUCUAUUCUUGGAUUGAAGGAUUGAUUUUUUUUCUAAAAAAAACUCUCCUUUGUGCAUCCAGCCUAUGUUUUUUAUUAUCAAUUUACACCUCAUUAGUAUGUCUUUGGAAUGUUAAUUAUCUGGCCCUUUCUUUUGAUUAGGCCAUAAAAACUUAAUACAACUUUCAACAACGGAUCUCUUGGCUCUCGCAUCGAUGAAGAACGCAGCGAAAUGCGAUAAGUAAUGUGAAUUGCAGAAUUCAGUGAAUCAUCGAAUCUUUGAACGCACCUUGCGCUCCUUGGUAUUCCGAGGAGCAUGCCUGUUUGAGUGUCAUUAAAUUCUCAAUCCCUUUUCUGAGUUUAUUCUCAGCUGGUGGGGUUGGAUAUGGGGGGUUUUGCUGGUUUUUAACAAAGUCAGCUCUCCUAAAAGUCAUUAGCAAGACUCCUGUUGCAACUGUCUAUCUGAUGUGAUAACAAUCUACAUCUUGGACUGUUUGCAGUGCUACCCUGUCUGGCUGCUAAAAG